rnacentral:rRNA from 1 species
CAGAGCGAACGCUGGCGGCAGGCUUAACACAUGCAAGUCGAGCGGGCGUAGCAAUACGUCAGCGGCAGACGGGAGAGUAACACGUGGGGACGCGCCCUUCGGUUCGGAAUAACUCAGGGAAACUUGAGCUAAUACCGGAUACGCCCUAACGGGGAAAGAUUUAUCGCCGAAGGAACGGCCCGCGUCUGAUUAGCUAGUUGGUGAGGUAAUGGCUCACCAAGGCGACGAUCAGUAGCUGGUCUGAGAGGAUGGCCAGCCUCACUGGGACUGAGACACGGCCCAGACUCCUACGGGAGGCAGCAGUGGGGAAUAUUGGACAAUGGGCGCAAGCCUGAUCCAGCCAUGCCGCGUGGAUGAUGAAGGCCCUAGGGUUGUAAAGUCCUUUUAACGGGGAAGAUAAUGACGGUACCCGUAGAAUAAGCCCCGGCUAACUUCGUGCCAGCAGCAGC